GGGAUAAGAGAUGCCUUCUCUCCCGUGCGGUACGGAUCGACUUAUCCCAAAUCACACCGCCGUUUGGGAGAGCAAGGUUGUGCUAAUGCGCUGGCCGUCGGCCGUUGAGCCGCAUGCUUGGGUGCCGGCGUGCCUCGGCAGCCGCGCUCGGAGGAGCGCCGCCGCACGUUGGCAGAGAGCGUCGCCGUGCCGCAGCACCAUGAAGGACGCUGUCUAUGGCGCGGGCUGGUGCGCUCGAGGGUGCCGCCGCAUCGGCCGUGGGCCGCUGUCCCUCUGAGUGUCUUAGGCGGCCGCGCCUCCGGGAACAGGAAAAGUCGCAGCAGCGGGCGCCGCCGGCCGUCGUCUCCUUCGCUGCGCCUAGGCGGCCACGCUGCCAGGUGUCGCUGGCGGAAGAAGCAGUGCCGGGGACGGUGGCCGUCUCCGCCACGGGUACUUGCCCGGAGGAGCAGCGCCAGGUGUGUAGCCUCGUUCCGUUGUUGGGGCUGGGGGCGCCGCCGCGCCAUCCGUUUCCGACUGAGGUGGCAGUUCGUUGCCGCGGACGAACGACGGGUCGCGCUCCCCUUACCGUGCAGGUGUGUUGAUUCCAUCCCCGCGAAGAGCUCGAAGCAAUGCAAAGGCGAGGGCAAGUUCAGCCAUUGCCUAUUUCUUCUGUUCUUCUUGUCGCUGUGCUUCUUCUCUUCUGAAGGCCAGAUGCUCUCGGUAGAGUCGAGUGCGUGAUAACGUGUUUAGGAAUGAAAUGAUUGAGAGAAUCAAGUGAUUGUAUUGAUCAAGGAGUUGGGUAUUUAUAUGUCCCCAACAGUUGCAUACAUAUGUCGGUUACAUGAUUGUGCCUGUUGGAACAGGCAUGACGGCUCUUGAGAAAAAACAGCGUUUGGACAA